CCCGUUAAAUCUACCCCUGCACCUGUAAUAAUCGCCGUCGUCGUGGUCCGGACAAUGGUGCGCCGGUUCCAUGACUUCGCUUGUUUCCCUUGCUGCCGAAGACAUUGUAGCUACUAGCAUCACUGAAAGGAGCAGCAUUCCCCUGUAAGUCUUCAUUCUAGCACCUCCUCCUAAUGAUCGAGCUAAGUACUUGCCGGAAAGAGCAGCGAAGAAUGCUGCUAGAGAGUUCAUGAUAAAGCUCACCAGUCUCCACAGCUGAAGGAGUAACCAGGAUCGUCGUUGUCAACGGCGCUCUUCUUGUUGCUGCGCUCUUCUUGUUGCGGCGCUCUUCUCGCUCCCCUUUGAUCCUUCUAGGAUGGGAAGAAAAGACGAGGUAAUAAGACACUGCUUUUCCUGCUCUAGAAGUUACCUCGCUCUCAGUCUUAGCAGCAGCACUCCUGCAUUCAAUGCACACCACUGUCCUGCCUCAACCUCGUGGCUUGCGUA
rnacentral:lncRNA from 1 species